GGACUACUGGGGUAUCUAAUCCCGUUUGCUCCCCUGGCUUUCGCGCCUCAGCGUCAGAAAAGGUCCAGUCGACCGCUUUCGCCACCGGUGUUCCUUCCGAUAUCUACGCAUUUCACCGCUCCACCGGAAGUUCCGUCGACCCCUACCUCCCUCCAGCCGAUCCGUAUCCGGGGCACGUUUCCGGUUGAGCCGAAAGAUUUCACCCCAGACUUGACCGACCGCCUACGCGCCCUUUAUGCCCAGUGAUUCCGAACAACGUUUGCACGGUUCGUCUUACCGCGGCUGCUGGCAC
rnacentral:rRNA from 1 species